rnacentral:rRNA from 1 species
AACAAUCUUUUGUAAACUUAGUGGCGGACGGGUGAGUAACGCGUGGUAACCUGCCGUAUACAGGGGGACAACAGUUGGAAACGACUGCUAAUACCGCAUAAGCGCACGGUACCGCAUGGUACAGUGUGAAAAACUCCGGUGGUAUACGAUGGACCCGCGUCUGAUUAGCUAGUUGGUGGGGUAACGGCCUACCAAGGCGACGAUCAGUAGCCGGCCUGAGAGGGUGAACGGCCACAUUGGGACUGAGACACGGCCCAAACUCCUACGGGAGGCAGCAGUGGGGAAUAUUGCACAAUGGGGGAAACCCUGAUGCAGCGACGCCGCGUGAAGGACGAAGGUCUUCGGAUCGUAAACUUUUGUCUUCAGGGACGAUAAUGACGGUACCUGAGGAGGAAGCCACGGCUAACUACGUG